rnacentral:rRNA from 1 species
AAGCUUUAUGUGCUGAAGGAGGGGUCUGCGUCCCAUUAGCUAGUUGGUGAGGUAAAGGCUUACCAAGGCAACGAUGGGUAACGGGUUUGAGAGGACGAUCCGUCACACUGGAACUGAGACACGGUCCAGACUCCUACGGGAGGCAGCAGUGGGGAAUAUUGCACAAUGGAGGAAACUCUGAUGCAGCAAUGUCGCGUGAGUGAAGAAGGCCCUUGGGUCGUAAAGCUCUUUUAUGGGGGAAGAUGAUGACGGUACCCCAGGAAUAAGCACCGGCUAACUACGUGCCAGCAGCCGCGGUAAUACGUAGGGUGCGAGCGUUGUUCGGAAUUACUGGGCGUAGAGGGCGCGCAGGCGGAAUAGUAAGUCGGAGGUGAAAGCCCGGGGCUCAACCCCGGAGGGUCUUUCGAAACUGCUAAUCUAGAGAGGGUCAGGGGCCAGCAGAAUUCCUGGUGUAGAGGUGAAAUUCGUAGAUAUCAGGAGGAAUACCGGUGGCGAAAGCGGCUGGCUGGGGCCACUCUGACGCUGAGGCGCGAAAGCGUGGGGAGCAAACGGGAUUAGAUACCCCGGUAGUCCACGCCGUAAACGAUGAGCACUGGACGUCCGGAGGGUUCGACCCUUCUGGGUGUUUCACUAACCCAUUAAGUGCUCCGCCUGGGGAGU